GAUGAACGCUGGCGGCGUGCCUAAUACAUGCAAGUCGAGCGAACAGACGAGGAGCUUGCUCCUCUGACGUUAGCGGCGGACGGGUAAGUAACACGUGGAUAACCUACUUAAAAUACGGGGAAAAUUUGGGAAAACGGGCGAAAAUCCGGGAUAAUAUAUUGAUCCGUAUGGUUCAUUGGUAAAAGACGGUUUUUCGGUAACUAAUCGAUGGUUCGGCGCGUCUUUGGCUAGUUGGUAAGGUAACGGCUUAUAAAGGCAAGGAGGCGUGGCCGACCGGGGAGGGUGAUCGGCCACACUGGAACUGAGACACGCUCCAGACGCCUACGGGAGGCAGCAGUAGGGAAUCUUCCGCAAUGGUCGAAAGCCUGACGGAGCAACGCCGCGUGAGUGAUGAAGGUCUUCGGAUCGUAAAACUCUGUUAUUAGUGAAGAACAAAUGUGUAAGUAACUAUGCACGUCUUGACGGUACCUAAUCAGAAAGCCACGGCUAACUACGUG
rnacentral:rRNA from 1 species